CGGGUGAGUAACACGUAUGCAACCUGCCUGCCACAGCCGGAUAAUCGGGAGAAAUUCCGUCUAAUACGGCAUAAUGCAUCGACGGGACAUCCUGUUGGUGCCAAAGGUUGAAUUCCGGUGGCGGAUGGGCAUGCGUCGCAUUAGUUAGUUGGCGGUGUAACGGACCACCAAGACGACGAUGCGUAGGGGUUCUGAGAGGAAGGUCCCCCACACUGGUACUGAGACACGGACCAGACUCCUACGGAAGGCAGCAG
rnacentral:rRNA from 1 species